rnacentral:rRNA from 1 species
UACGGAGGGGGCUAGCGUUGUUCGGAAUUACUGGGCGUAAAGCGCACGUAGGCGGCUUCUUAAGUCAGGGGUGAAAUCCUGGAGCUCAACUCCAGAACUGCCUUUGAUACUGGCGAUCUCGAGUCCGGGAGAGGUGAGUGGAACUGCGAGUGUAGAGGUGAAAUUCGUAGAUAUUCGCAAGAACACCAGUGGCGAAGGCGGCUCACUGGCCCGGUACUGACGCUGAGGUGCGAAAGCGUGGGGAGCAAACAGG